UGCUAMCAUGCAGUCGACGAUGAUGCCCACUUGUGGGUGGAUUAGUGGCGAACGGGUGAGUAACACGUGAGUAACCUGCCCUUGACUCUGGGAUAAGCCUGGGAAACUGGGUCUAAUACUGGAUAUGACCUUCUGGCGCAUGCCAUGUUGGUGGAAAGCUUUUGUGGUUUUGGAUGGACUCGCGGCCUAUCAGCUUGUUGGUGGGGUAAUGGCUUACCAAGGCGACGACGGGUAGCCGGCCUGAGAGGGUGACCGGUCACACUGGGACUGAGACACGGCCCAGACUCCUACGGGAGGCAGCAGUGGGGAAUAUUGCACAAUGGGCGCAAGCCUGAUGCAGCGACGCCGCGUGAGGGAUGAAGGCCUUCGGGUUGUAAACCUCUUUCAGUAGGGAAGAAGUUGGCCUUUUGGGGUUGGUGACGGUACCUGCAGAAGAAGCGCCGGCUAACUACGUGCCAGCAGCCGCGGUAAUACGUAGGGCGCAAGCGUUAUCCGGAAUUAUUGGGCGUAAAGAGCUCGUAGGCGGUUUGUCGCGUCUGCCGUGAAAGUCCGGGGCUUAACUCCGGAUCUGCGGUGGGUACGGGCAGACUAGAGUGCAGUAGGGAGACUGGAAUUCCUGGUGUAGCGGUGAAAUGCGCAGAUAUCAGGAGGAACACCGAUGGCGAAGGCAGGUCUCUGGGCUGUAACUGACGCUGAGGAGCGAAAGCAUGGGGAGCGAACAGGAUUAGAUACCCUGGUAGUCCAUGCCGUAAACGUUGGGCACUAGGUGUGGGGGACAUUCCACGU
rnacentral:rRNA from 1 species